UUUGCAGAAAAAUGUGUGUCAUUCAGAUUUUUUGCCUGAGUUGGGCAGUCACCUAAGAGAAUUACAAAGAGCUGGACCCACCCUGCACUUGGCUUUAGCGCUGUUUACGACACAACGAGAAGCGAAGCGUUGAGAGACAAUUUUCUGAAUAAUUCAAGAGUUGCGCGUUGGCAUACAUUUUGCCUGGGAAUUCUAGAAGGGAUUUAAAAAAAAAAGAAAUUAAAGGGUCACAUUGAUCCAGUGUCAAAGCCAUACAUAUGCAUGGCGCCAUUGUGAAUGCUCAGAUGUAUUAAUGCUAGAAAAUAGGAUUCAAAGCAGUUUGAGAAAGUAUUUGAGAUGUGAGUAACAUCUACAACAGAGGGAAAAGCCAUAAUAUGAGUGGGCCUCAUCCAGUCCAUUGAAGGCAAGAGAGCAAAAACAAGUUUCUCAGACAAGAAGGAAUUCUACUUCAAAUCCCACCUGCGUUUCUAGCCUGCCAGCUUGCCCUACCAAUUUCAGACUUGCCACCCAAUUAUG